GGGGGUAUGGCUCAGUGGUAGAACGUAUGUUUAGCACGCGUGAGGUCUUGGGUUCAAUCCCUAGUACCUCCA
rnacentral:tRNA from 1 species